GUGCUCACUUUGGCGCCACAUAUAGUAAAACUGGAAUGAUAAAGAGAAGAUUAGCAAGGCCCCUGUACAAGCACAACGUGUACAUCUGUGAAACACUCCAUAUUUUU
ensembl:snRNA U6 U6 spliceosomal RNA